UACGGAGGGGGCGAGCGUUAUUCGGAAUUAUUGGGCGUAAAGGGCGCGUAGGCGGCUGAACAAGUCAAAGGUGAAAUCCCUCGGCUCAACUGAGGAACUGCCUUUGAAACUGUUCGGCUUGAGGCCGGGAGGGGGUAGCGGAAUUCUCGGUGUAGCAGUGAAAUGCGUAGAUAUCGAGAGGAACACCAGAGGCGAAAGCGAGUCGCUGGACAGAACCUGACACUGAGGCACGAAAGCCAGGGGAGCAAACGGG
rnacentral:rRNA from 1 species